UGCUCAAAUAUUUAAUUUCUGUAUUGAUACUAAAUGAAAAGUCAUAACCUGACUAAACAAGACAAUAGCAAAACACAUUCAUUCCACUCCUUUCCUUCCCACCCAUUCUCAAAAUCUCAUCUUUGUCCAACUCCAAAACAAACAAAAAGUAGCUAACAAAACAAAAUCUUUUUCCAAGAGAACUUGGAAUGCAGAAAGCUAGAUUACUGGGAAACAUUGAG
rnacentral:misc_RNA from 1 species